CAGGAGGACCAUCAAAAGGGGCAAAAGGUGUCGGAUUAUUGGAAGAACUUCCAUCUCUGAGUGUCCUAGUUCUAAGCCUCGAAGCAAUCUCUGUCAGGGCUCCUCUUGCAAUAGCUGGAAGCCCAGCAACCUGAAAGCUUGGAACAAAUGUAAAAGCACAAUGAAAUGUUAACAAGUAAAAACUGUAGUUAUAAAGGUAAUAUAUGGAUCUCUGGUGUAGGUAUGGCCAAAUAAAUUACCUGCACAAGCUCCUCAUCAAAAGACAAGUACUUAGGUUUAUCUGCUUUUGAGUAGACUCGGAUUUCAGCCCCAGUCCGUCUUCUCAUUUCAGUAAUUACCUUUCCACCUUCCCCAAUAAUACAACCAACUUUGUUUGAUGGUACAACAAGCCGUGUCGUCAAGUGGUGAUUCUCAGCAAGUGUACUUACUUUACUAUGGAGCAAAAUAAGCGCCUCAAUUGUUGGAGACACUGGAUCAUCUGGAAUCUGGAAAGAAAAUGUAGGAGGAUAUAAUAUUGU
rnacentral:sRNA from 1 species